rnacentral:rRNA from 1 species
UACGAAGGGGGCUAGCGUUGCUCGGAAUCACUGGGCGUAAAGCGCACGUAGGCGGCUUUCUAAGUCAGGGGUGAAAUCCUGGAGCUCAACUCCAGAACUGCCUUUGAUACUGGAAAGCUUGAGUCCGGAAGAGGAGAGUGGAAUUCCUGGUGUAGCGGUGAAAUGCGUAGAGUAUCGGGAGGAACACCAGUGGCGAAGGCGACUGCCUGGCCUGUUCUUGACGCUGAGGCGCGAAAGCUGGGGGAGCAAAGCGGGGAUUAAGAAACC